UACGGAGGAGGCAAGCGUUAUCCGGAAUUAUUGGGCGUAAAGCGUCCGCAGGUGGCUAUUCAAGUCUGCGGUCAAAGACUGGGGCUUAACCCUGGAAAGGCCGUGGAAACUGAAGAGCUAGAGUGCAGUAGGGGUAGAGGGAAUUCCCGGUGUAGCGGUGAAAUGCGUAGAGCUCGGGAAGAACAUCGGUGGCGAAGGCGGCAUCCUGGACCAACACUGACGCUGAGGAGCGAAAGCCAGGGGAGCAAACGGG
rnacentral:rRNA from 1 species